CCUACGGGGGGCAGCAGUGAGGAAUAUUGGUCAAUGGACGAGAGUCUGAACCAGCCAAGUAGCGUGAAGGAUGACUGCCCUAUGGGUUGUAAACUUCUUUUAUAAAGGAAUAAAACGAGGCACGUGUGCCUUUUUGCAUGUACUUUAUGAAUAAGGAUCGGCUAACUCCGGGCCAGCAGCCGCGGUAAUACGGAGGAUCCGAGCGUUAUCCGGAUUUAUUGGGUUUAAAGGGAGCGUAGAUGGGUUGUUAAGUCAGUUGUGAAAGUUUGCGGCUCAACCGUAAAAUUGCAAUUGAUACUGGUAGUCUUGAGUACAGUUGAGGUGAGCGGAAUUCGUGGUGUAGCGGUGAAAUGCUUAGAUAUCACGAAGAACCCCGAUUGCGAAGGCAGCUUACUAAACUGUGACUGACAUUGAUGCUCGAAAGUGUGGGUAUCAAACAGGAUUAGAUACCCUGGUAGUC
rnacentral:rRNA from 1 species